GGAUGUGGUUCAAGUGGUGUGCGCUCGCCUAGCGUGCGUGAGGCACUGGGUUCGAUUCUCAGCACCA
rnacentral:tRNA from 1 species